rnacentral:lncRNA from 1 species
UGAAGUAACACAUGAAACCAUAAUUUUAAUUAUAAUAAUAACAAACUUAAAGUGGAAUGCUACAUCCUGUCUGACAAAUACUAUGGCAAAAUCAUUUGUUCACUUUACUGUAAUCUUGAUAGAUAUAAGGCGCCAUCAAAACGCGCCAAAUACAAAUAUUAAUAGUCAAAAGCAGGGGAACAAAAAAAGGUUUUACCUGCAAAACCGGGUUAGGAGUAAGUUCAGGCUUUAGUAAUUCCUCUUUCUCAAAAGGUGCGAUGUCAAGCAUCUUAACCAAAUUAUAUGCCAAUGCUUGCUGUUGCUCAUCUGGCUUCCACGAGGCAGGAAAUAUGCUGGAAGAAGGAAACAGAAACUCACAGACACCCUCAGCAGAAGGUAGCAUGUUGAAGUUGAAAGAAUCAGGCUGCAAAGGAAAAGAGUUAAAUGAACAUCAAGGUAGUCAGAAGAUUCAAGAUGAAGGUGUUUCCAUGAGUUAACUUCCGGUGUCAUCUAAAUUAGACACAAUGGGAGUGAGGACCUCAACAACUACAUUCCCUAGUCCAUCUCUCCAGACACAACGUACCAUUGCCACCUUGUUUGCUUGCUUCAUUUCUCUUACAAUGGCAGAGACGGCAAUAACAGAGUUUUGUUUUCCCGGAUCAGGAACAACUAUGUUCAGGUCAUCUUUCAUGUGGCGGUGUCUUAGUUGACAUGCAGAGAAAAACACAACACAACACAACAAUCUGUCAACUGAGACAACCAAGAGUUUACAGACAACCAUAAAUAUAGGUGAUUGUUUAUGCUUACCGCAAUAUGUUUGAACCCUGAGUAAAUCCCAGAAGCUUCAUUCUUUCUUCAGUUUUGAACUUGAGGGUUUCCAUCUCAUGUGGUGAUAUAGGAAUAACAUAAGGUCCAUAGCAAAAGCCCUUUAUCCUUUCUUCUGGAGUAAGAACCUCACUAGACUUGGCGAACUUGUCUGUUGGUGACGCCUUGUGGAUAUGCAUUUUUAAAAUGGGAAGUCUCUCAUCAGCCACUGUCUUAUAAAAAGACACCUGCAAAAUUCAAAUUCAAAAAUACCGUCCUCAGGAACUAUCUCGAAUAGUUAUAUAAUCGUCGGAUGGACCAAAGAACACCAAAUAUGAAAUAACACAAUGAUCUCCAGAAACAUUGCACCACAAUCAAUAGAUACCUUAAUUGUUGGGUUAAUCUCAAGAUCACCCCUGGACAAAGUAACUGGAGCAAAUCUCCGGAUCUUGAAGGAAUCUAGAAGUGAGAGUUGAUUCUCAACACACACUGUUUGCGAAACCGAGUUGCUGGAGGAUAAGUUCAACAACUGAUCGUCCUCCGCCAUUAUCUUCUCACUAACAUCAACAUCAGUUGCAACAGGCUUCUUCUCCGCAUCCAUAGCCAGUGGGAGCUCUCCAAAUUCCCAUCCAGGAUCCAAGACAUCCUCAGUCGUAGCACUACGAGUCCAAGGGAGAUCUGUAUUUCCUGUCCAGAAUCAGAAAUUCAUAAUCAGAAAUCAACCUAAAAGUUGACAAAAAAAUAAAUAUAAAAGAAAUUCAACCUAAAUAAUCGGACAAGUUUAAGUAGAAAAUUUCCUUACUGUAAUCACCUGAAACUAAUUACCAUAAUCAGGAAACUCAAAACCAAUGGUACUUUGCCUUUUAACCUUAAUAGCCCUUUAAUUACUCUAUAGUCCAUCUCACUAAUCUGCGAAAAUAUCCUACAGCACAAAAUAUUAAAGACUUGCCGUAUCUAGAGAUGGCCAGAGCUUCCAUUUCCUUCAUGACAAGGUGAGGGUUCUGACAUUCCUGAAUAAACGUCACAGGAAAGUCAUAACACAAAACAAUUUAUAGUACCAACGUACUAUUAACAGGGGAACAAAACUAACAUGGAUACAGCUAAACGUGAACUGAAAUACCAUAGCAUUUAAAUAACGACACCUUUUCUGUAUUAAGAUUUUGAAACAUUUGAUGAAUUGCAAAAGGAUGUUCACCUUUGAUAACAAUGAUCUACACUUUUCUAGCUUCCACGAGGCAGGAAAUAUGCUGGAAGAAGGAAACAGAAACUCACAGACACCCUCAGCAGAAGGUAGCAUGUUGAAGUUGAAAGAAUCAGGCUGCAAAGGAAAAGAGUUAAAUGAACAUCAAGGAAACAGGGGAACAAAACUAACAUGGAUACAGCUAAACGUGAACAGAAAUACCAGAGCAUUUACUUAAUGACACCUUUCCGUAUUAAGAUUUUGAAACAUUUGAUGAAUUGCAAAAGGAUCGUCACCUUUGAUAAAAAUGAUCCACACUUUUCUGGAGCACGGUACCAUCGAAGAGCUACAUAGUCCUGUGGUCAAAAUGCAAUAGGAGAAAAAUUGGUUUCAUGCCAAAUUGAAGAAGUAAUUUUUUAAAGGAAGGCACUGGAUUACUACUCACAGUGCAGAAUAAUGAAAUUAAUGUAUCAAUGAAUGCGAAUCCUGGGAGUUGAAAAUAGAAAGUCUUGAGUUGGCAAUCAGCAUUUCCCAAUAUGUUUUUGGGUUUCAGAUCCCGAUGAUAGACAUUAGCUGAGAGUAAAACAAAAUUGACAGUUAAGAAAAAAAGAGUAUCUUCAGAAAGAUCAUCUAAAACUUAUAGAACUAUGCUAGCUUAACCUGUGUGUAAAGAUUUGAGGCCACUGAGAAGCUGAUAGAGAAAAGACUUGUAACGUUCAAGAACCAAAUCAUCAUUUGCCUUGAUAACCUCAUGCAGAUAAGCUUCCCUCAGCUUCUCCGCAUCAAUUAUGAUCACCCGCCUCUCAAACUCGAAUUGCAACUUUGUGACAGCUUGAUCAGAGGGCUCUCUUUGAACCUUCAAUAAACCCUUGAAGUACACAUCUGCUAGCGCCUGAAGUAACACAUGAAACCAUAAUUUUAAUUAUAAUAAUAACAAACUUAAAGUGGAAUGCUACAUCCUGUCUGACAAAUACUAUGGCAAAAUCAUUUGUUCACUUUACUGUAAUCUUGAUAGAUAUAAGGCGCCAUCAAAACGCGCCAAAUACAAAUAUUAAUAGUCAAAAGCAGGGGAACAAAAAAAGGUUUUACCUGCAAAACCGGGUUAGGAGUAAGUUCAGGCUUUAGUAAUUCCUCUUUCUCAAAAGGUGCGAUGUCAAGCAUCUUAACCAAAUUAUAUGCCAAUGCUUGCUGUUGCUCAUCUGGCUUCCACGAGGCAGGAAAUAUGCUGGAAGAAGGAAACAGAAACUCACAGACACCCUCAGCGGAAGGUAGCAUGUUGAAGUUGAAAGAAUCAGGCUGCAAAGGAAAAGAGUUAAAUGAACAUCAAGGUAGUCAGAAGAUUCAAGAUGAAGGUGUUUCCAUG